rnacentral:rRNA from 1 species
GGUGGUUUUGGAUGGGCAUGCGUCUGAUUAGUUAGUUGGCGGGGUAACGGCCCACCAAGACGAUGAUCAGUAGGGGAACUGAGAGGUUGAUCCCCCACACUGGCACUGAGAUACGGGCCAGACUCCUACGGGAGGCAGCAGUAGGGAAUAUUGGUCAAUGGGUGCAAGCCUGAACCAGCCAUGCCGCGUGCAGGAAGAAGGCGUUAUGCGUUGUAAACUGCUUUUGCCAGGGGAUAAAAUAGCUUUGCGAAGCUAGUUGAAGGUACCUGGUGAAUAAGCCACGGCUAACUACGUGCCAGCAGCCGCGGUAAUACGUAGGUGGCGAGCGUUGUCCGGAUUUAUUGGGUUUAAAGGGUGCGUAGGCGGCCCUGUAAGUCAGUGCUGAAAUAUCCCGGCUUAACCGGGAGGGUGGCAUUGAUACUGCGGGGCUUGAGUGGAGUCGAAGUAGGCGGAAUUGACGGUGUAGCGGUGAAAUGCUUAGAUAUCGUCAAGAACACCGAUAGUGAAGACAGUUUACUAGGCUUUUACUGACGCUGAGGCACGAAAGUGUGGGGAUCAAACAGGAUUAGAU